rnacentral:rRNA from 1 species
CGCGUAGGAAUCUACUCUAAAGUGGGGAAUAACCCGAGGAAACUCGGGCUAAUACCGCAUAUGUUCUACGGAAUAAAGCUGGGGACUGCUUCGGCAGCCUGGCGCUUUAGAAUGAGCCUGCGUCGGAUUAGCUUGUUGGUAGGGUAAUGGCCUACCAAGGCAACGAUCCGUAGCUGGUCUGAGAGGACGAUCAGCCACACUGGGACUGAGACACGGCCCAGACUCCUACGGGAGCAGCAGUGGGGAAUAUUGGACAAUGGGCGCAAGCCUGAUCCAGCAAUACCGCGUGUAUGAAGAAGG